AUUUCCCAAUAGCGGAGGAAAAGAAACCAACAGGGAUUGCCUCAGUAACGGCGAGUGAAGCGGCAAAAGCUCAAAUUUGAAAUCUAGCACCUUCGGUGUUUGAGUUGUAAUUUGAAGAUGGUAACCUUGGGUUUGGCUCUUGUCUAUGUUCCUUGGAACAGGACGUCAUAGAGGGUGAGAAUCCCGUCUGAUGAGAUGCCCAUUCCUAUGUAAGGUGCUAUCGAAGAGUCGAGUUGUUUGGGAAUGCAGCUCUAAGUGGGUGGUAAAUUCCAUCUAAAGCUAAAUAUUGGCGAGAGACCGAUAGCGAACAAGUACAGUGAUGGAAAGAUGAAAAGAACUUUGAAAAGAGAGUGAAAAAGUACGUGAAAUUGUUGAAAGGGAAGGGCAUUAGAUCAGACUUGGUGUUUUACGAUUAUCUUCUCUUCUUGAGUUGUGCACUCGUAUUUCACUGGGCCAGCAUCGAUUCGGAUGGCAAGAUAAUGGCAGUUGAAUGUGGCUUCACUUCGGUGGAGUGUUAUAGCUUCUGCUGAUAUUGCCUGUCUGGAUCGAGGGCUGCGUCUUUUGACUAGGAUGCUGGCGUAAUGAUCUAAUGCCGCCCGUUUAAAAACCCGGAACCA
rnacentral:rRNA from 1 species